UAGCCUAGCAGUUAGAGUAGCCUAGCAGUUAGAGGGUAGGGGUGGCAGGUAGCCUAGCUGUUAGAGUAGCCUAGCAGAUAACCGGUAGGGAUGGCAGGUAGCCUAGCUGUUAGAGGGUAGGGAUGGCAGGUAGCCUAGCUGUUAGAGGGUAGGGGUGGCAGGUAGCCUAGCUGUUAGAGGGUAGGGGUGGCAGGUAGCCUAUUGGUUAGAGCGUAGGGGUGGCAGGUAGUCUAGUGGUUAGAGGGUAGCGGUGGCAGGUAGCCUCGCGAAUAGAGGGUAGGGGUGGCAGGUAGUCUAGUGGUCAGAGGGUAGCGGUGGCAGGUAUCCUAGUGAUGAGAGCGUAGGAGUGGCAGGUAGCCUAGUUGUUAGAGCGUAGGGGUGGCAGGUAGUCUAGCGGUUAGAGGGUAGCAGUGGCAGGUAACCUGGCGGUUAGAUGGUAGGGGUGGCAGGUAGCCUAGUGGUUAGAGGGUAGGGGUGGCAGGUAACCUAGCGGUUAGAGGGUAGGGGUGGCAGGUAGCCUAGUGGUUAGAGGGUAACAGUGGCAGGUAACCUAGCGGUUAGAGGGUAGGGGAGGCAGGUAGCCUAGUGGUGAGAGGGUAACAGUGGCAGGUAACCUAGCGGUUAGAGGGUAGGGGAGGCAGGUAGCCUAGUGGUUAGAGGGUAGGGGUAGCGGGUAGCCUAGUGGUUAGAGAGUAGUGGUGGCAGGUAACCUAGCGGUUAGAGUGUAGGGGUGGCAGGUAGCCUAGCUGUUAGAGAAUAAGGGUG
ensembl:lncRNA